GGGCCCGUCGCCUAGCACGGAUCAGGGCACUGACAAGUGGAGCCAGAUGUCGUGGGUUCGAAUCCCACCGGGCCCG
rnacentral:tRNA from 1 species